rnacentral:rRNA from 1 species
UACGAAGGGGGCUAGCGUUGCUCGGAAUCACUGGGCGUAAAGCGCACGUAGGCCGAUUGUUAAGUCAGGGGUGAAAUCCUGGAGCUCAACUCCAGAACUGCCUUUGAUACUGAGGAUCUUGAGUACGGGAGAGGUGAGUGGAACUGCGAGUGUAGAGGUGAAAUUCGUAGAUAUUCGCAAGAACACCAGUGGCGAAGGCGGCUCACUGGCCCAUAACUGACGCUGAGGCACGAAAGCGUGGGGAGCAAACAGG